rnacentral:rRNA from 1 species
UACGAAGGGGGCUAGCGUUGCUCGGAAUCACUGGGCGUAAAGCGCACGUAGGCGGACUCUUAAGUCGGUGGUGAAAUCCUGGAGCUCAACUCCAGAACUGCCUUUGAUACUGAGGAUCUUGAGUACGGGAGAGGUGAGUGGAACUGCGAGUGUAGAGGUGAAAUUCGUAGAUAUUCGCAAGAACACCAGUGGCGAAGGCGGCUCACUGGCCCGUUACUGACGCUGAGGCACGAAAGCGUGGGGAGCAAACAGG